UUAACACAAUCGCAGUCUGGUGAGUCAAAUGAUUCUCAUUUUACAAGAAAAAAAACAUGCGGUAUACAAUACAUAUAUACAUAUAUUUACUUACAUCUCCGGCUCGCUCGUCUCCCUUAAAGCUGGCGGGUCCGUCAACGGCCGUUCCAGGCAGAGGAGAAGGCUUGAUUGUGCCAAAGACUCCAGACAUCGAAUCCUUGCUCCGAGGGGAAAUCAUCGAAAACGACGGUGAAUGUCCGACAGGCACCCGCUAUUGGUAACACUGGACAAGUCGGAUAUCCUUGCUUGGAUCCUUUUAAAGUUGCCCGAUAAACUGCUGAGAGUUGAUCUCUCCUCUUGUCCAAAGGUUUUUCGUUCAUUUUUACUUGUAAUACUGGCACUAGGGUUGAUGUAGUAGCUCCACAACAUAACCUUAAAGCCUGUGACUGGAUCCGGUCUAUUUUCCCAAGUCAUGUUUUUGAAGCAGAUUGGUAAAUAAUGCAUCCGUAAUCAAUAACAGAUGGAAUUAAAGUUAUAAAUAUAUACAUGUAUUGUUUUCAACGUUAACCUAUCAGCCCCCCAAUCAUUACCCCUCAAAGACCUCAUUAUAUUUAACACCUUUUUACUUUUUCCCCUAUUUUUUUAUUUUCCGGAAGGAACACUCCUGAAGGAAUAAAUAAAGUACUAUCUAAUCUAAUCUAAUCAAUUCUAUUUUGCUGAUGUGGGUUGACUAGUUCAUAUUUUUAUCAAACCAUAUUCCUAAAUAUUUAAAUACUUGUACCUCUUCUAUAUUUUCACCUUAGAGUUUUUAUUUGGAGCUUGUUUGGUACUUUUGUCUUUGUAAAAUGUAUGACUUUUGUCUUUCCAACAGAGAAUCUUAAACCUCAAGCCGUUCCCCAGUCUUGAACAUUAUUUACCACUUUGUUAGUUUUUUGAUUAUUUCUUUUGACUCUAAAUAAUAUACUAGUCUUUCAUUAAUCUUUUUUUUUUUUCCAUUACUUUUCCCCAAAUUUAUAAUUUCCUGCCUCUUCCGGGUCUUACCCUGACUUGCAUAUUGGAAUUGUUACCGCUAAUUUUCCCCUCUGCCGGUCAUUCUCCUUCUUCAUAUAUCCUGUCAUAUCAUUUCAAGACCACUUCUUUGACGAUGCCACCUAAGUUUUUGAUCAUUUGAUAACCCGCUAGGUCUUUCCCCGGUGACGUAUUUUUAACCUUUUUCAAAAUUCGAACCAUUUCAUUCAAAGAAAAUGUCAUAUCCAUAGUGUUGGUAAAGCUAUUAACGUUGUCUUCCAUCAUUUCCCCAAUAUUUAAACUCAUUGUUUUUUCUCUCUUUUGUUUUUCCACAUUUCUCAAAUUAUCAUUACUGUGCACUUCAACAAAUGUUUUUGCUAAAGGUUCUGCUGUUUCUUUACCCGUGACUACAUCUUCUUUGAUAAAUGUGGCACAUCA